CAACCAACAGAAUGGGAAAAGAUAUUUGCAAAUGACAUAUUGGACAAAGGGCUAGUAUCCAGAUCUAUAAAGAACUCACCAAACUCCACACCCAUUCUGCUUUUUAAAAAAAUUCUUGUUAAGGGAAAGAAGCACACAGAUGAGAGAAUGUUGAUAGUUUAAUCCAUCCACUGUGAGUUAGAAACGUAAUGGAGACGUGUGUCCAUACAGCAGCAAUGUGAGCUGACAGUCCACAUUCAGUGCUCAGGGAGUCGAGAAGGGAGAACAGUCUGCGAAGGUCAGAGAGGCAGACCUCCACUGGGAAUAUGCUAGCCGACUGCAUCCUGGAUAAGAGGGCUGAGAAUUCUGCACCAUUUCUCACUUUUCCAGCAUUUUGUAGCCACCUGAGCAAACACACACGCCAAGUAUAAAAUAAACUGAAAAUGACUGAACAAUGAUAAGGGAGGGUAGGAUCUUUUGUCGUGUUGCUGAAGUGUCCUCCUUCCCCUCCCCCAUGUCGGGCUGGAAACCACAGCUGAGGUGUGGGAACAUUCUGUAGUGGAUUUCGCUUUGCUUUGUGAAAGCAAGGCCAUCAUUGUCAGAUUAAAGGCCUGACAAAUAACUACCGGAGUAAAUCUCAACACGUCUCUUGGCCUGGUAGCCAACAACCAGUUGGGCAGCAUGAAGUAUACUCUUCCCUGUGAAGAUGCCGUGUCUCAUACACCUGUCACAGCGGCCACACAGGGUACAGGGGCCACACAGAGCCCUGUAGAAUUGACUUGAGACUGCAGCAUAUUUGCAAAGGACCUGGGAAACUCCUACCCCAUUUUCUUCACAUAUAAUUCAAGAAAUGGUGGCCUAAAUAUCACUGGCCCAAGUAGAGGGUUAGGAAGGAUGGUUCUCUGCUUGCUCAGACCUGGAGACUGUUUGUUGUUUUUAUGUAUGGUUAUGGCUGAUUUGAGGUGACCACUAGGGACCAGAAAAAUUUCAGGCUGGCGGUUCAAGGCAAGAGUUUGGAUGGUUGCGAUGAAUCACAGUUUCUGGUGUGACUCAUUCUACUCUCAGGGCAUACCGCUUAAAUUCUCUGUCCCUUAAUUUCCUUAUUUAUUAAAUGGGAAAAUAAUACAUCUUAAUUUCUCUAUUAGGAACAAUUAGACUUGGCUGCAAGUAUUUAUUUGUUUGCAUGUUCAUACCUUGCCGUAUUCCAAAAGAGGUCUCUGUUGGCUAAGAAGAUACAAGCGUGAAGGACUGAAGAUUGCUUUGUGAGCUAGGUUGAGGAUGUGGUAAAGACCUUUGCAGAUAAAACUAGCCAACCAGCAUUAUCUGGAGUCUCCACGUUUCUCUUGCACACAGCACAUUUUCAGAAAGCAGGAUGGUGCCAAAACACCAGGGUAUAAAAGAUAAGCCAUUGUGUGUCUAAUUUUGGUCUUGACGUCCAUGACGUCCAUUACAUUAGGCUCGUGCCCACUCUGGCCAUGUCUACUCUCAUCCUAGAUUUACUACUUAGUUUUUUUGUGUGAUGCUGAGAACAUGUAACUUCGUGUGUCCAAGUCCACUUCCAGUGUUGCCCCUUCCUUAAUCUUACCGUAAACGAACUGACCUCUCUUCUGCCUCUGAGGUUUCUUCAUACCAGUCUAGUGGUGCCUAAUGACGAUAUGAGGAAAUGCACCGUGGAUGUUGCAUAUCCCAACAAAAUAGGGUUUUGAGGUAAGAAAGGUUUCUUAGCAACUUAAAAAAAAAACUAUUCUUUGCAGCCCAUAGUAGAGUGCCUUGAACUAGGUAUUUUAUUAAUACCGAUUGAAAGAAUUUAAUGUUGAUUAAAUUGAUCCCAUUGAUAAAUUUGAAUGAAAUUCUCCAAUGGUCUAUGAGUAUUCCUGUGCUUACACAGAGUUCUUGGGUCCCUGGGGGAGGGGCUAGCAGGAACGAUCUUCCCUAGACUCGCUUAACGCCCUGUCUGGUUUCACCUGGUAUAAUUUUUGCUCCUGAUUCCCUGUCUUUUUCGCUGGCUCAUAUUCUUACUCAUUUUGCCUUCUUUCUUUAAUUUCCUCCCUAGGAAUAUUUACCCAUUCUAACGAUUUUAACUAGAAUUUCUCAUUGAUGGUAUUUUUGCUUUUUUGUUAAGAGCCUGUGCUGCGAAGACAUUUUUCCAUUGCACACCCAGCUCUUCCUAUCUUCCGGAAACAGAACCUUUUCAUCUUUGGGGGAGGGGCGAAUGGUUCUACCAAUAAAUUCUCCCACCAGUUGGAAUUACCCUUCAUUCUGGUAUUGCUUUGAGACAUGAACAUUGAGGCUAGGCAUUGUUGUCAACCCUAUACCCUGCUGGGGGUGGAGGGAGUCUGUGAUAGAGACAAAGGUGUCACAUGGCAGAAAGAGUAGAGGCUCUACUUCCUUCUUCUCAUACUUUUGGGUGCACACAGGCGUUUUGUGCCCUACACACUCCCUUGUCAUGACCUGUCCACUUUGCAGGUGGAUGCAUGAAACUUCCCUUUGUUUUGUUUUGCUUUUUUAAGAGGGAGAGAUAGAGAGAGUGUGAGUGAGCGGGAGGGGGAGAGGGAGAGGGAGAGAGAUCUCAAGUGGGCUCCAUACCCAGCGCAGAGCCUCACACAGGGCUCGGUCUCACGACCCUGAGAUCAUGACCUGGAUUGAAAUCAAAAGUCAGAUGCUUAACCCACUGAGUCACCCAGGUGCCUCUAUAACUUCUCUUUGGUUUAAGCUUGUUAGAGUUGGGUUUCUGUCUCUUGCACUAAAAGAGCCUUGCGGGGCGCUUGGGUAGCUCAGUUGGUUGAGCGUCUGACUUCGGCUCAGGUCACGAUCUCACGGUUCGUGAGUUUGAGCCCUGUGUCGGCUCUGUGCUGACAGCUCAGGGCCUGGAGCCUGCUUCAGAUUCUGUGUCUCUCUCUCUCUCUCUGCUCCUCCCCUGCUCACACUCUGUCUCUCUCUCAAAAAUAAGUAAAGAUUAAAAGAGCCUUGAGUAACCUACCAGAUGAAUAUAAUAUUUCUACUUUAAUAAAUAGAAAAAAGUUGUAUGGUUUUUGGAGAUUGAAAAAUAGACAUCAAGAUCUAAAAUCGUCUGGUUUCUGUUACAUAUGGGAGAAUUUUGUAGAAGAAUAGAAUAAUACCCAAGUUAAAGUUCCUUUUUACAGAUGUCAUUGUUUCCUUCUGCCAGAUUCUAAAAGACCUCAGGUUCUUGGAAGCCUGGGACGUACACGGAGCUAUGGACCAAAAUAAGUCAGCAAAUAUAAGUCAAUGGAAUCCAUGGAGAAAUAAAUCAGAAAUAAUGGAAACGUCCUAUAAAGCUGAACAAACACAAUGAAGAAAAAAAUAAGCACGGCAUGGAUUUGAAACGUAGUAAGAGCCCUCUUUUUCAUCUAUACCCUACUUCUUAAAAGUGAAUGAAGGGUGUGGAUUCUGCAGGCAGGCCGCCUGCUUGCAUGUCACAUCUGCCAGUCAUUCGUUGUGUGAUCCUGGUAAAAUCUGUGCCUCCGGUUCAACGUCUACUAAAUGGGAAUAAUAGUAGCACCUACCUUCCAGAGUUAUGAAGAGUCAAUGAAACAAUCUACAUAAUGUUCUUGGAACAGCACUUGGCAAAUCAAAAGGACAUAUGCGAGCAUUAGCUACCAUUAUAGUUGUUAUUACUGUCACCAGGAUUCUAUAUACUAAGAGCUACUCAGCUAUAAUGUGUCAAUGAAGGAAUGUCACAAGUA